rnacentral:rRNA from 1 species
GAUGAACGCUAGCGGCAGGCCUAACACAUGCAAGUCGAGGGGUAGCAGGAUUAAGCUUGCUUAAUUGCUGACGACCGGCGCACGGGUGCGUAACGCGUAUGCAACCUACCUUAUACUGGGGUAUAGCCCGGAGAAAUUCGGAUUAAUCCCCCAUAGUACUAAUGAAUCGCAUGGUUUAUUAGUUAAAGCAUUGCGGUAUAAGAUGGGCAUGCGUCCUAUUAGCUAGGUGGUGAGGUAACGGCUCACCAUGGCUACGAUAGGUAGGGGGCCUGAGAAGGUGGUCCCCCACACUGGUACUGAGACACAGACCAGACUCCUACGGGAGGCAGCAGUGAGGAAUAUUGGUCAAUGGGCGCAAGCCUGAACCAGCCAUGCCGCGUGCAGGAAGAAUGCUCUAUGGGUUGUAAACUGCUUUUAUUUGGGAAUAAACCUCUUUACGUGUAGAGAGCUGAAGGUACCAAAUGAAUAAGCACCGGCUAACUCCGUGCCAGCCGCCGCAGUAA